AUUUUUGGAGAGGAAAAGGAGCCCAACUUUAAAAAAAAGUGUAGUAUCUGUUCUUUUCAGCUUAAUAUCUGAUACGUCCUGCAUUGCACGACCAGAAUUUUAAACUCAUUUUUGGCUUAUGACGGAGUGCUAGGGGCUUGCUCCACCUCUGUCGCGGGUUGGCCCGGCAUUGCAGUACCGCCGCGAUCGGCCCACCAAAA